UUUCAACCUUUAUAAUGGAUAGGCUUAAUAGGUUCUAAUUGUUAUUUUAAAUUAUUCUGUAAUUUCAGAAGGCUCGACAGAUGCCCAACAUUCGAGAAUGACAGGAUUUGUUCAUGUCAUUUUGAAUGUGGCUCAAAGGAUGGUGAUCCAAUAUUUUCCCCCCCACAACAAAGGAAAACUGUUUCAGUUCAAGGAUCCCAAACCACAGAGAAAAAGGAGUGUGCCUUUGGAGUGCAGUGAUGUACCGGCAAUCCCACUGGCUCAGAGUCCAGAUGUCCUAGCUGAACCUGAACACAAUGGAAGGACGGAUGUAGUGAUAGAACAUGGGGAAGCUGACUUCGUUAAUGGCUGAAGUCCAAGACUUGAAGGCCACAAUCAAGUCUCUGGAGCAGGAAAUCCACUUUUUCUAUCCUUUUCCACCUUUUCUAUCAACGUAUAAGUGACAGUGAAGAAAUGUUGAGGUGUUUCAAGUGGACUCCAGCUGGUAACAUUGCCUGGUUGCUUACCACUAGGGAUGGGACUAGGAAUCCCUGCUGCUAGCCCUAAAGCUGAGUACCUUACUUGUCUAAAACUAUCAGAUAAGUUCGAAAUGAAUGACAUUUUAAUUUAAAAAAUUCACAAAAUCCAUUAUAAUGAAGCAUUUUGUAUGAUAUAUUAAGGGCAUGAAUCAUGCAAACAAGUGUCCUAAGUGUUGGAGUAAACUGUAGUUAUAUUGCUUUGUGAAUAUUGUACAUACGCAUCAGUCACUUUACUCAUUUGUUUUUAGCGGUAUGUAAAAUACAAAAACAAUUAACUCCCUUGUAUCUUCCGGAAGUACCUGUACAUGUGUUUCCCAUCUCAGUUCAAAUGUAACCGCCGAUGUGCGAAGAAGGUUUAUUAAAACUUUUAACCCCAACUUGGAUGCCUCUGUCGUUCAUGAGUGAGAAGCACGAUGUUACAUACUCUAAUUAGAUGUAACAUACUAAACAAUAUUAAAUGUAAUUAGAGUCUAUGUGCUCAUUACAGGAAUCUUCACAUAUUGAUAUGGUACAUAUAUUAAAAUCACACCAUAACUUAAGGCCAUUACAUGUGUAUGAAAAACCUAAGGAUACAUCUAAUCAUCAUAAUAACCCUUUUAUAACUUCCAGAAAUUUACAUAUAAAAUAAAAUACUUAUGAGAAUUCUGGAAACACAUCAUGAAAUGCUUGGAGUAGAUGGUGUGUUAUCUCUUCCCUCCAUAUGUAAUAACAUAUUUUGAAUAUUUACAUACUCUAAUUAGAUGUAACAUACUAAGAAGUGUAUUUUCAUUUCAGGAACACUGUGGACAAGCUCAAGAUACAAUAUAUUAAAUUUGCAAGAGAUAGAAAGUGUUCAUAGUGAAGUACUUCUUCCGUCAAAAUGUUGAAAGUAUAUUAUUUUUACAAUCUGUCCUGUACAGAUACUAAUGAAAAUAACUUUUUGAACAUAAUGAAUGACUGAUUUUCUCUCCAAACAUUUGUACAUUGUUAUAGCAAAUUUGUAAAAUGAGAUCACUUGUAAACAAAUACAUGGACUGUGGAUAA